rnacentral:rRNA from 1 species
GACCCUGGCUCAGGACGAACGCUGGCGGCGUGCCUAAUACAUGCAAGUAGAACGCUGGAAGGAGAAGCUUGCUUCUCUGGAUGAGUUGCGAACGGGUGAGUAACGCGUAGGUAACCUGCCUGGUAGCGGGGGAUAACUAUUGGGAAACGAUAGCUAAUACCGCAUAAUAGUAGAUGUUGCAUGACAUUUGCUUAAAAGGUGCAAUUGCAUCACUACCAGAUGGACCUGCGUUG